rnacentral:rRNA from 1 species
GAUGAACGCUGGCGGCGUGCCUAAUACAUGCAAGUCGAGCGAACGGACGAGAAGCUUGCUUUUCUGAUGUUAGCGGCGGACGGGUGAGUAACACGUGGAUAACCUACCUAUAAGACUGGGAUAACUUCGGGAAACCGGAGCUAAUACCGGAUAAUAUUUUGAACCGCAUGGUUCAAAAGUGAAAGACGGUCUUGCUGUCACUUAUAGAUGGAUCCGCGCUGCAUUAGCUAGUUGGUAAGGUAACGGCUUACCAAGGCAACGAUGCAUAGCCGACCUGAGAGGGUGAUCGGCCACACUGGAACUGAGACACGGUCCAGACUCCUACGGGAGGCAGCAGUAGGGAAUCUUCCGCAAUGGGCGAAAGCCUGACGGAGCAACGCCGCGUGAGUGAUGAAGGUCUUCGGAUCGUAAAACUCUGUUAUUAGGGAAGAACAUAUGUGUAAGUAACUGUGCACAUCUUGACGGUACCUAAUCGGAAAGCCACGGCUAACUACGU